rnacentral:lncRNA from 1 species
AUAGUAUUAAGAAUAUUUGCAUAUCGAAUAGUCUCACAUUGACUGUAUAAUGUAAUUAGUUAUAAUCUCUCUAUAUAUAAUAAAGUCUCCGUAGUGCUUUUGCAAAACACACGGUUUAUUCAAAUAUCUCUUAAUCUCAUAUUUCAACGAUAACUAUGUAAAUAACUAUAUUAAUAAGCCAAUAUCCAUGUGUCUAAACUUUCUGAAUAUAUUAUAUUCGAUUGCAUAGAAAC